rnacentral:rRNA from 1 species
UACGGGGGGGGCAAGCGUUGUUCGGAAUUACUGGGCGUAAAGCGCACGUAGGCGGCUUUGUAAGUUAGAGGUGAAAGCCCGGGGCUCAACUCCGGAAUUGCCUUUAAGACUGCAUCGCUAGAAUUGUGGAGAGGUAAGUGGAAUUCCGAGUGUAGAGGUGAAAUUCGUAGAUAUUCGGAAGAACACCAGUGGCGAAGGCGGCGCUCUGGACCGAGACUGACGCUGAGGCGCGAAAGCGUGGGGAGCAAACAGG